GGGAGGGCCGGGUUGGAGGGGAACACGCGGUUGGAGGGUUAGCGGGAUCCCCACGAGGUGCCCGGAUGUGGCGAAGGCGGGAACGAGGACGUGUUUCCGAGGCCAAGGCCCCUCUGGAGACCACCCCCCAGCUCCGCCUAUUGGAGGCGUCCAAGCCCCUUUUCCCGCCCAGCUAGAGGAAAGGCGAGGGAGUUGGGAGACAGGUGCUAAGCAAAAGGAUUUGAAUUUUGCCCAGCCAGCCUUGCGCGGUGCUUGAGCAUCGAUCUGUGAACCAGGUUGGUUUCCGGUUAGGGAACAUGCCGGGGUUGCGGGCUCCAUCUCCAGUGGGGGGCGUGCCGGAGGCAGCCGAUCAGUGAAUGAUUCUCGCACCACCUCCUGUGCGUCCAGACCAGGGAUGGAACCGGAAACCUAGGCGUGAGCCCUGACUGGGAAUCAACCGAUAGCCUUUGGGUUCACGGGAGGACGCUCCAGCCAACGGAGCCACACCGGCCAGGGCAAGUGAUUCUUUAAGAUCUACCGAAGCGGAGUCACUGUAAGUCUUCAGAAUAAGCUUCCUACUGCCUACCUGCCGGAAGUUCAGUAUACCCUAUCAAUGUAUCUGAUCUUCACAGCAUCCACUAUUUGUUAUAACUUGUAACACUGAAGGAGAAACAAUUUAGCCUGGAGCUGAAAGGAGAGGAAAUUUUUAGCCCACACCCCCAUCAACUAGUAAUUUGUCAGUGUCUGCUUCUGGCUCAGGAACCUUGGCUGUAUCUUCCAAAGGAUGUCAUUUCUUUCUUUUUUGAUGGUUAAUAGUUUUGGAACAGAAACAAAGAAGUCUGGAUUGGGGAGCCCCUAGAAGUAGUGCUCUCCGAGUAGAACACUUCUCAAAAAUUAAUGCAUAGCCCGCUUGCAUCUACAAUAACUGCAUCGCUUGUAUUUUUACCAAGCGCCCAAGGUGAUUCUGAUACAGAACAUUUGGAAACCUUUUGGACACAUGUAGGGUGACCAAUUGUUCUAGUUUAUCUGGGACUGGGUUUUUUUUCCAGGAUGCAGGGCUUUAUAAGUGCUAAAGCCAGGGCAGUCCUGGGCAAAGUGGUGCUCAUCCUAGAAUCAGAUCCAUGUGAGUAUGUACUAUUAGAAAGAUGAUCUUGAUGACGUCUGGCAUCCUGGGUGGCCUCAUUUCUAUUUGCAGGAUUUGUUUGUAUUAGGGGUGGCCUUGGAGAAGGGAUGAAAGUGAGGUGCGUUGCCAAUUCUUACUGAUUUUCCAGUCCAAACCCAUCCUUCACUGACCUGCUCGCAGUCCUGGUACAUGUCUCCUUUUCCGUCUGGCCUGGUGUUCAGUUUCAUCAGUAGAGGGCGCUGGAGGGACAUAGAGGAGGAAAGGGCUCUUCCUGAUUCCAGAGUGCGGUCUCAGCUGUCUUUGCAAUGCCUGGUGGCUAGCCGUGUUUGGCAGCUCUCUGUGGGCUGAAUUUGUGUUAGUUGAAUUUAGAGCCUUGUUAAGUUUCUCUUGUGAGGUUAAGGCAUUGUCUAGGAAGGAAUGGGAUCCCAAAACUUGAAGCAGGCACUUCUGCUUGGGCCCAGAUGAAAGUGACGACCUUGAACACCCAAGUCAUCCUGAGCCUCCCUUGGUGGUGGAUGUAGCUUGCCCUUCUUUAUCUGAGGACACUUGGAAACCCUGUGCAGCCCUCACCUGGAGCAGAUGACUUGAAAAAUACAGCCUUGGUCUGUGCUUCCUGGCAGCUCAAAUGUAAGCAGUGUCCGGGCAAGAAGUUUUGUCUGCUGUGCUUGCUGCAGUUUCUCCGGCAUCCAGAAGAGUCCAUGGCACGUGACUGACACUCCCAUCAACACACACGUGGUACGCCUGGAAGCUUUUGUAACAGGAAGACAAGCUUGCUUAUAGCCUUUCAGGAUCACCUUUGGUAGGACCCAGGUUGCUUAUUUUUCAAUGACACGCAUACAGGGAGAGUAGACAACAUUGUAAUAUGUGUUCAUGUUAGACACGUGUCCCACUUCUAGACGUCUUCAUCCACAUCUCAGUAGAAAGAACAUCUACGUUUCCACAGGGAAUUUAAAGUCUGUCUAUAUGUAUGUGCUUUGCAGCAUGAGUGACAUAAACAUGCCAAUCUAGAAAUAUUAGAAUGUCACAAAGUUAUGAGUCCUUAAAAUUUAGUUUCCAACAUAUUCAAUAAAAAAAGCUUCAAUACUUUGUUUUGACCCUGGAAAACUAUAGAGCAAAGUAGCAGAAUCUAGAAUCACCUCAAUCUCAGGUAAUUUUUUAUGUCAACAGACUGAGGGAAUUAUAGUACCACUUAAGCUCAUUUCAUUCUCACCAGGUAUUAUCACAAUAAAUCUUUUCCUCCACAUUGAAUCAGCACCAUAUGUAUUGGUAUUGGGAUUAAUGUUCACUCUGUAUGAAGUUCAGUUCUAUUAUAUUCCAAUCCAAUAAAUAUCAAAUGAGAAAUCAGAAUUCAUCUCUUUAGGGCAGGACCACAUUUGAGGAAAAGGAGACUAAUAAUAUCACCCGUAGCAUUUACUUAUUUAUUCCCAGUGUACGUGGGACUGACACAAGGACAGGUCAGAACGGCAUACACCAUUAUGUGUGCAGGAUAAUUCCCCCCACGCUAUUCCACUGAAAGGGCAACAAGAGAACAAUAAAUUGAAAUUUGCUUCCUAUGUUGUAAGGAGAGCGUACUCUACAUAAAUAACCAAUACUGUCUCCUACUCGGUGCAUUUUGGGUUCAAAGCUUACCCAGCACAUAUCAGAUAAUCAAGUCAAUAGAGAAUAAGCCUCAAAUUUAUGCUUUAUCAUGUUGAAGGUUUUGAGAAUAUUUGUUUCUCUUUUAGUACAAUUUUUCUUUCAUGUGUCUGGAAACAUAGAUUUUCAUUUCAUCCUCUUCAACCGUGAGUGUCAAAUACACGAGGAAUUUCGCCAAGUUGAAGAAAUCAAAGCCGUAGCUCAGAAGUUUUGAGAUUGCUAAGGGAUUUCCUAGCCAGAAAAUAACCAUUUUCCAACUGGGGAAAAAGGAAAAACAUUUUGUAUACCUGUAAGCCAAUCCCUCCCCUCUCUGCCAACUUUCCAGCAAUAACUACAUGAUAACCAUCAACCAACCAACCAGCGUGUGAAGGCAAAUGAACUAUUGCUCACGUCAUUGUGGUGUCAAAAAAAUGAAAGAAAAAGACAAUGUUUUUCAAAAAAGCUGCCUUUAUUCCAUUUAAAUGAGUAUUCCUUAUUCUGAGAUUGUUCUUUCCACUUUUUGUAUGCUAUUAAAUGUCUUUUAUAUAACGAUGGUAAUUUGGUUUUCUGUUUUUAUAUCCUUAGCUGAUAAAAUUAAAAUCUAGAAACACUUAAAUACCCCAAUUAAAAUUUUUUGUGCUAAUUUAUUGGUGCUUAAAACUCAGCCUUGGAAUCACAGCCUAGGAAAAGGUCUACCUUUUUAGAUGACAUGUCUCACAACAUUGAAUUAUUGCUUAGCAAUUUCCCCAAACAAGAUAUAUAGCAGGAUAAAAGUAAGCUUUAAUUUAUAUUGAGCCAGUGUAACAAUGGCCUUAAUUUCAAGCACUAAAGAAAUAUACUGUUAAUCAACACCACAGUUCUAUUACCUUUCAUUAAGACUAGUUAUAUCAGUAUUUAUAGGGUAUUAAUCUCAAAGUGCAAGGCCACUUCUCUGAUGUCACUGCUGUUCUAGGAACAGCCUCUGUCACAUAUGUAAGCAGUAUUAUUGAAGCACAGAAACCAGGCCUCGGGUCCACCAGGCCACUUUCCUGGGCAGGUUUUAGUGGCACCACAGGUGGCUGGCUGGCUCAGUGUACAUUUUGGCCCAUUUACCUUUGUAAAUCAUACCAUACACCUUAAAGUAGCUACAUACAUUUAAACUGAGAAGAAAUAUUAGAGGAAAGCAUAUUUUUAUAGGUUUCACAUGUAAAAAAAUCUCCAAAUUAUUUUUGUCAU